AUUUUUUUUAGCAAAAUGCGUUUUAUGGCAGAAAUGAACUUUCAUAUGCCAUCUGUAAAUAUUAAUAAAAUUGUUAAAUUAUGAGCCUAGUUGGUUUAACCACAGAAAAAGAUAGGAACCUUACCGCUAGCCAUGAUUGGCUGAGAUAAUGGAUAGGCUGGACAUGCUUAGAGAUGAGUUCGGAUUGGUCUGCCAUGUAGCACACUUCUGUCUAUAACAUGAGCUGGUCAGUAUGUGUAGGUAUUCCUUUAUAACGCUGCUUUUUUGAAAGAUUCGAAAAGAGAACACACAGAAGGCUGUUGUAUAAAACACCUGUCUCCGGAUUACAUCUUCAAACUAAGGGCAACCAUGGGAUCUGUGACAAGAGAGGGAGAAGCGUCCAUCCAUAUAUACGGGUAAGAGAGUCUAGCUAGCUACAUUUUCAGAUAUUAUACAUUUCUAAUUUAGUCAGAAAGUAGUUUUCAUUUCACGUUAAAGCAUACUUUUAGCUAGAUAGCUAGCUAACGUUAGCUGGAUGGCUCGUCAACUAACAUUACUUGUAUGAUCUGUGUAGUAAUAUUAUUCAUAUUUGAGCCAUUUGCAUUACUAGUUAUAGCCUAAUGUUAACUAGCUAGCUAACAUUGAACUUGGUUGGUUAGCUACCUGCAGAUUCAUGCGGGGUAGUAACGUUAUGAGUUAUGAUAAUUGUUGAGCUAGCUACAUGUCUAAACAAAAGACUCCACUAUGCAAGUAACCAUUUCACUACACCUUCUGUAUCCUUUGCUUGUGACAAAUAAACUUUGAUUUUAUUUGAUAUAGUAUGUGUUUACCAUAGACGAUAAUGUGAAGAACAUGCACUAAAGUCAAAUUAGGAUAUAAUAUUAGGCCAACGAGACAGAGUCCAAGUUCUAAAAUUCUCCGGUAGAAUGCCCUGCUUUUAUUUCGUCACACUCACAACCGUGAGCUAUUUGCUGUAAUUGGCUCGCCAUUAUCUUUUUAAUAAUGAUCUAGUUGUGAGUUUAUUUUCCUGUGAUAAUGAAGACAAAUGAGGUAAAGUGAAUUUGUUGUCAGCUAUAUUAUGAUAUUAUGCACUGGCUAGCCAGCUAACUUAACAUUAGCUUGCUAACAAGCUAGAAACUAACCAAAAUAUUGUUUAUAAAGUUGCUUUUAAUUGCCUGGUUUACUAGAUUUACAUAUAAUUUCAUUUUUAAACAGGUGUUAAAAUACACUAGUUAUGCUAUUUUGGACUACCAGGCUGCUGAUGUCAUGCAGCCUGUCAUUUUUGUGUUUAAACCUUUUCAUAACGACAACGACAAGUUUGAUGUCAGACGACAAUAGAAUGUUCAUGAUAUCACUGCGACAACUGUCGGUAGACAUAGUAUAAACCACCCUUUAGUCUUGAUAUCGCCUCAUGUGAAUAUUUAAAGAGAUGGGUGGGACUAAGGCUUAAGAAGGUGUGAACAAUGCUGAAAGGGUGUAGAAAAAUAAAAGCUCUCCGGUAGGUUUACCAAAACAUUCAAGGGAAAUUUUCUCAAAAGUGAGGUUACAACUUUAUCAACUUUCAAAGCAGAAUUACUUUCCCAUUGUUCCUCAACUGUAGUGUAUGAUAUACCAUUUUGUAGCUCGGAGUUUCUACUUUUAUCCAAUGUAAAAACACUACAUAAGAUCGAGCCCGGUCGGUCACAUAUGGCAAAGUUGUUUCCUACUAAUUAUUUGCCUACUUUAGCAUGUCAUCAUAUUUCCAUGCCACUCUAAAUUUGUGUAAUUUAGACAACAGUCACAUUAGCCUCUGAAGUGCAACCCAUGUCUAGGGCACAAAUAAAUAUUGGAUGCAACUAUGGUGGUACCAUCUAACUUAUGUCUGACUACAACAGUGUACUAACUAGCAGUAACAAACCAACCCAGGGCCAUAGCAAAACAUAUGACAGUUGGUUGCAUACUGUAACGGCGUCACCGGCCUUAAUCUAAUCUGGGUACUAGACUGAUCCCCUGGUCAUGAACAGAUGCCGGGACCUUCCAGAAGGAGCGAAGGUGGGUAUCAUAUAGUGCUGAGCGAUUAGUGCUUUUUGAGGUCAUUUCGGUUCGAUUGUAAUUUUUUUUUUGCAUGAAAUGUUGACAUGAAAUGCAGUAUGCAUUAUGUGGGUUUGAAUGCUGUAACAACACAGAAUAAAACAAUUAAUAAAAGUACAAAACUAUUAAUGGUAGUGACUGCCCAUUACUGCAAAUCACUUACUAACCAUAAUUUAUUCAUAUUGCACAUUACUUAAAUAUUUGUUUAAUUUGAUGACUUUAUUGUUUCAUUCCAAGUCAUCGUAUCAUCUCUAUAGAGCUGCUGCCCUUGCCAUCUGACAAAAUCACAAUUUUAGUAGUUCUUCAAAGUAAAUAAAGGCAUAGUUUUAUGACUGCUGAAUAUCAACUAUCAAUCACUUAGAUCAUGUAUUUCAGGUAGACAUACUUUGCGAAGCAACUGCUUUCUAUCCCUCUUGAUUGCACGUUCUCUGUUCUGUCAAUCUGUGGGUCUCAGUGCUCCACACAGACCAGUCAAGUAGGUGGGCACGCAAUGGAUUAUCGUCAUUGUAGUUAAUUACUACGUUUUCUGCGCUAAACUAUGUAGAAUAUUGGCCUGUUGAAAGCUACAACUCCGUUAAUUGCUCAGCACUAGUAUCAUAACAUGUCCAGCAAUGUGAUUUGAAUGGUUUAGCAAUCUCCAAAAAUAAUUUAAUUCACUGUUCACUUGCUAUUUUCACAGCUUGUCAAACGUUAAAAAAAAGUGUGUCAUGUGACACAAGUACCCUUGUGACACCUCCUCCGUUGUUGCCAGAGUCUCCCUCGAAUCCUAUGAAAAGGACACGCCAUCAUGAAGCCUCUGAUAGUAACCCGAGUUACUGCCCUGAUGACACAGAUCGCUUCAUCAACAACGACAGGCUCUCUCAGUCAACACCACCUCAUUAGAUUGAUUGCCUGAUGCAGUUGUUCAAGAGAUGUCCAGUUUGCUGCUGAACAUGCAGCAUCGAAAAGACCAGCAAGUGAGCCCUCAUCAGCAUCAUGCAGACAUGACCUCGCUGUGAGCAUUCCUAUGAAUGUUGGCAACUAUCCGGCCAGCAACAUUCACCUGUCAGCAGCAACAGCUUUCACAGGCUCAUUUGUAGAAAUACAGAAGUAUCUUUGAUGAGGGGCCAGGGACUGAUAUACGCUGCUAUGCUGUGCUGGCAAAGACCUCACCCCAGCCUCACCUCUUGCCUGCUCACCAACGGGCGUCGAUAUGGAGAACAAACUUCAUCGUAAUAUAUAUUUGUGUGUCAGAUAUCACCUAUCCCUAACUCACAUAGGUAAUAGAACAGUGACUGUGUGCAUGUGUUCACAGAUGCAUGAGAUGCCGAGAGAUCUGGCGCUCAACACAUCCACAAUAAGAUGGACUGGAGAUGCUUUUGCCGGACGGCAGCCUCAGGCGUUUGAUAGGGAGACCAUAAUUGGCUAGGUUUGAUCUGACCUGUUCGAACUUCAACAUAGUACCUGUUUGUAUGUCAGAUAUUACCUAUCUGAACUGCCAUUGGUAAUAGAACAGUGACUAUGUGUGUAUGUGUUCACAGAAACAUGUAUGGAGAUAGCACAUGGAGACUUGCAAGAUGAUGUGAUGAAGUCCAGACUGACAGACGGGCUUGUUACUGAUGUCUCUGAAUGAAGAGAGAUUUGGUAUAAAAGUUUUACUAGACACAA